rnacentral:rRNA from 1 species
GAGGUAGCUCAGGUGUUCAAGGAGAGGGUAUUUAAGGAGGGCCCUUGGGAGGAAGGAGGGGAUGCGGACAAUGUGUGGAUGAAGAUGGUGACUUGCAUUCGUAAGGUGGCCUCGGAGGAGUUUGGAGUGUCCAGGGGAAGGAGAAGCGAAGAUAAGGAUACCUGGUGGUGGAACGAUGAUGUCCAGAAGGCGCUUAAAGAGAAGAAAGAUUGCUUCAGACGCCUAUACCUGGAUAGGAGUGCAGACAACAUAGAGAAGUACAAGAUGGCGAAGAAGGCCGCAAAGCGAGCUGUUGGUGAAGCAAGGGGUCGGGCAUAUGAGGACCUCUACUAG